rnacentral:rRNA from 1 species
CCUACGGGAGGCAGCAGUGAGGAAUAUUGGUCAAUGGCCGGAAGGCUGAACCAGCCAUGCCGCGUGAAGGUCAGUGCCCUAUGGGCGUUAAACUUCUUUUGUGCGGGAGCAAUAAUGGUCACGUGUGGCCAGACGAGAGUACCGUACGAAUAAGCAUCGGCUAACUCCGUGCCAGCAGCCGCGGUAAUACGGGGGAUGCAAGCGUUAUCCGGAUUUAUUGGGUUUAAAGGGUGCGUAGGCUGUGAGGUAAGUCAGCGGUGAAAUGCCCCCGCUCAACGGGGUGAAGUGCCAUUGAUACUGCCUUGCUGGAAUGCGGAUGCCGUGGGAGGAAUGUGUGGUGUAGCGGUGGAAUGCAUAGAUAUCACACAGAACACCGAUUGCGAAGGCAUCUCACGAAUCCGCGAUUGACGCUGAUGCACGAAAGCGUGGGUAUCAAACAGGAUUAGAUACCCCAGUAGUC